rnacentral:rRNA from 1 species
UUCGCAAUGCCCGAAAGGGUGACGAAGCGACGCCGCGUGGGUGAGGAAGGCCCUCGGGUUGUAAAGCCCUGUCAGGAGUUAAGAAAUGUGAGUGUGUUAAUACCACAUUUAUUUGACGAAGGCUCCAAAGGAAGCCACGGCUAACUCUGUGCCAGCAGCCGCGGUAAUACAGAGGUGGCAAGCGUUGUUCGGAAUUAUUGGGCGUAAAGAGCACGUAGGUGGGUUUGUAAGUCAGAUGUGAAAGCCUUCUGUUCAACGGAAGAAUUGCAUCUGAAACUGCGAAUCUUGAGUGUAGGAGGGGAGAAUGGAACUUCUGGUGGAGCGGUGAAAUGCGUAGAUAUCAGAAGGAACGCCGGCGGCGAAAGCGAUUCUCUGGCCUAUUACUAACACUCAGUGUGCGAAAGCUAGGGGAGCAAACGGGAUUAGAUACCCCGGUAGUCCUAGCUGUAAACGAUGGGCACUAAGUAGAGGGGUUUU